AUUCCCCUAGUAACUGCGAGUGAAGAGGGAAGAGCUCAAAUUUAAAAUCUGGCMGUCUCUGGCUGUCCGAGUUGUAAAUUAGAGAAGUGUUAUCCGCUCAAGCCUGUGCAAAAGUCUCUUGGAAAAGGGCAUCAUAGAGGGUGACAAUCCCGUCUUUGGCACAGAUCACUUGCGCUUUUGUGAUGCGCUCUCGAUGAGUCGAGUUGUUUGGGAAUGCAGCUCUAAAUGGGUGGUAAAUUCCAUCUAAAGCUAAAUAUGGGCGAGAAACCGAUAGCGAACAAGUACCGUGAGGGAAAGAUGAAAAGCACUUUGAAAAGAGAGUCAAACAGUAUGUGAAAUUGUUGAAAGGGAAACGCUUGAAGUCAGUCGUAUCCUUCAGAAAUCAACCCGAGCUUUAUUUGGUGCAUUUUUUGUUGGAUGGGUCAGCAUCAAUUUUGAUCAUUGGAUAAAGGACUUGGGAAUGUAGCAUCUUCGGAUGUGUUAUAGCCCUUGUUUGUAUACAAUGAUUGGGAUUGAGGAACUCAGUGUGACUUUGGUUUGGGGGUAUUGCACCUCACACACGCACUUAGGAUGCUGGCAUAAUGGCUUUAAUCGACCCGUCUUGAAACACGGACCAAGGAGUCUAACAUGCAUGCAAGUGUUUGGGUGGAAAACUCAAGCGCGCAAUGAAAGUGAAAGUUGAGAACCCUUUGGGGUGCAUCAACGCCCGGUCUUGAGCUUUUGCGACGGACCUGCGGUAGAGCAUGUAUGUUGGGACCCGAAAGAUGGUGAACUAUGCCUGAAUAGGGUGAAGUCAGAGGAAACUCUGAUGGAAGCUCGUAGCGAUUCUGACGUGCAAUCGAUCGUCAAAUUUGGGUAUAGGGGCGAAAGACUAAUCGAACCAUCUAGUAGCUGGUUCCCGC
rnacentral:rRNA from 1 species